AGGGUGAGUCGACCCCUAAGGCGAGGCCGAAAGGCGUAGUCGAUGGGAAACAGGUUAAUAUUCCUGUACUUGGUGUUACUGCGAAGGGGGGACGGAGAAGGCUAUGUUGGCCGGGCGACGGUUGUCCCGGUUUAAGCGUGUAGGCUGGUUUUCCAGGCAAAUCCGGAAAACCAAGGCUGAGGCGUGAUGACGAGGCACUACGGUGCUGAAGCGACAAAUGCCCUGCUUCCAGGAAAAGCCUCUAAGCAUCAGGUAACAUCAAAUCGUACCCCAAACCGACACAGGUGGUCAGGUAGAGAAUACCAAGGCGCUUGAGAGAACUCGGGUGAAGGAACUAGGCAAAAUGGUGCCGUAACUUCGGGAGAAGGCACGCUGAUAUGUAGGUGAAGCGACUUGCUCGUGGAGCUGAAAUCAGUCGAAGAUACCAGCUGGCUGCAACUGUUUAUUAAAAACACAGCACUGUGCAAACACGAAAGUGGACGUAUACGGUGUGACGCCUGCCCGGUGCCGGAAGGUUAAUUGAUGGGGUUAGCGGUAACGCGAAGCUCUUGAUCGAAGCCCCGGUAAACGGCGGCCGUAACUAUAACGGUCCUAAGGUAGCGAAAUUCCUUGUCGGGUAAGUUCCGACCUGCACGAAUGGCGUAAUGAUGGCCAGGCUGUCUCCACCCGAGACUCAGUGAAAUUGAACUCGCUGUGAAGAUGCAGUGUACCCGCGGCAAGACGGAAAGACCCCGUGAACCUUUACUAUAGCUUGACACUGAACAUUGAGCCUUGAUGUGUAGGAUAGGUGGGAGGCUUUGAAGUGUGGACGCCAGUCUGCAUGGAGCCGACCUUGAAAUACCACCCUUUAAUGUUUGAUGUUCUAACGUUGGCCCGUAAUCCGGGUUGCGGACAGUGUCUGGUGGGUAGUUUGACUGGGGCGGUCUCCUCCUAAAGAGUAACGGAGGAGCACGAAGGUUGGCUAAUCCUGGUCGGACAUCAGGAGGUUAGUGCAAUGGCAUAAGCCAGCUUGACUGCGAGCGUGACGGCGCGAGCAGGUGCGAAAGCAGGUCAUAGUGAUCCGGUGGUUCUGAAUGGAAGGGCCAUCGCUCAACGGAUAAAAGGUACUCCGGGGAUAACAGGCUGAUACCGCCCAAGAGUUCAUAUCGACGGCGGUGUUUGGCACCUCGAUGUCGGCUCAUCACAUCCUGGGGCUGAAGUAGGUCCCAAGGGUAUGGCUGUUCGCCAUUUAAAGUGGUACGCGAGCUGGGUUUAGAACGUCGUGAGACAGUUCGGUCCCUAUCUGCCGUGGGCGCUGGAGAACUGAGGGGGGCUGCUCCUAGUACGAGAGGACCGGAGUGGACGCAUCACUGGUGUUCGGGUUGUCAUGCCAAUGGCACUGCCCGGUAGCUAAAUGCGGAAGAGAUAAGUGCUGAAAGCAUCUAAGCACGAAACUUGCCCCGAGAUGAGUUCUCCCUG
rnacentral:rRNA from 1 species